AGCCUACGGGGCGCAGCAGUGGGGAAUAUUGCACAAUGGGGGAAACCCUGAUGCAGCGACGCCGCGUGAGUGAGGAAGUAUUUCGGUAUGUAAAGCCCUAUCAGCAGGGAAGAAAAUGACGGUACCUGACUAAGAAGCCCCGGCUAACUACGUGCCAGCAGCCGCGGUAAUACGUAGGGGGCAAGCGUUAUCCGGAUUUACUGGGUGUAAAGGGUGCGUAGGCGGACUGUCAAGUCAGCGGUAAAAUACGGGGGCUCAACCUCAGCCCGCCG
rnacentral:rRNA from 1 species